rnacentral:rRNA from 1 species
ACGUAGGGGGCGAGCGUUGUCCGGAAUUACUGGGCGUAAAGGGUGCGUAGGCGGCCUGAUAAGUCAGGUGUGAAAUACCAGGGCUCAACCCUGGGGGUGCACUUGAAACUGUCGGGCUUGAGUGCAGGAGAGGAAAGCGGAAUUCCUAGUGUAGCGGUGAAAUGCGUAGAUAUUAGGAGGAACACCAGUGGCGAAGGCGGCUUUCUGGACUGCAACUGACGCUGAGGCACGAAAGCGUGGGUAGCGAACAGGA